GAUGAACGCUGGCUACAGGCUUAACACAUGCAAGUCGAGGGGAAACGCCGGGGAAGCUUGCUUCCCCGGGCGUCGACCGGCGCACGGGUGAGUAACGCGUAUCCAACCUGCCUCUGACUGAGGGAUAACCCGUCGAAAGUCGGCCUAAUACCUCAUGGCAUCGUCUGCGGGCAUCCAACGACGAUUAAAGAUUUCAUCGGCCAAAAAUGGGGAUGCGUCUGAUUAGCUUGUUGGCGGGGUAACGGCCCACCAAGGCGACGAUCAGUAGGGGUUCUGAGAGGAAGGUCCCCCACAUUGGAACUGAGACACGGUCCAAACUGCUACGGAGGGCAGCAGUGAGGAAUAUAGGUCAAUGGGCGAGAGCCUGAACCAGCCAAGUAGCGUGCAGGAUGCCGGCCCUAUGGGUUGUAAACUGCUUUUAUGCGGGGAUAAAGUGAGGGACGUGUCCUUCAUUGCAGGUACCGCAUGAAUAAGGACCGGCUAAUUCCGUG
rnacentral:rRNA from 1 species